GGACGAACGCUGGCGGCGUGCUUAACACAUGCAAGUCGAGCGGUAAGGCCCUUUCGGGGGUACACGAGCGGCGAACGGGUGAGUAACACGUGGGUGACCUGCCCUCAGCUCUGGGAUAAGCCGUGGGAAACCGGGUCUAAUACUGGAUAUGACUCCAUGACGCAUGUUGUGGGGUGGAAAGCCUUGUGCGGCUGGAGGAUGGGCCCGCGGCCUAUCAGC
rnacentral:rRNA from 1 species